rnacentral:rRNA from 1 species
UACGAAGGAUCCAAGCGUUGUCCGGAUUUACUGGGCGUAAAGGGCGCGUAGGCGGCCACCGCAAGUCGACUGUGAAAUCUCCGGGCUUAACCCGGAAAGGUCAGCCGAUACUGCGGGGCUAGAGUGCAGAAGGGGCAACUGGAAUUCUCGGUGUAGCGGUGAAAUGCGUAGAUAUCGAGAGGAACACCUGCGGCGAAGGCGGGUUGCUGGGCUGACACUGACGCUGAGGCGCGAAAGCUAGGGGAGCGAACGGG